UACGUAGGUGGCAAGCGUUAUCCGGAUUUAUUGGGCGUAAAGGGAACGCAGGCGGUCUUUUAAGUCUGAUGUGAAAGCCUUCGGCUUAACCGGAGUAGUGCAUUGGAAACUGGGAGACUUGAGUGCAGAAGAGGAGAGUGGAAUUCCAUGUGUAGCGGUGAAAUGCGUAGAUAUAUGGAAGAACACCAGUGGCGAAAGCGGCUCUCUGGUCUGUAACCGACGCUGAGGCUCGAAAGCGUGGGUAUCGAACAGG
rnacentral:rRNA from 1 species